UACAGAGGUCCCAAGCGUUGUUCGGAUUUACUGGGCGUAAAGGGUGCGUAGGCGGUGGGGUAAGUUUGAGGUGAAAGCUCCGGGCUCAACCCGGAAACUGCCUUGAAAACUAUCCGGCUAGAGGGUUGGAGGGGAGACUGGAAUUCUCGGUGUAGCAGUGAAAUGGGUAGAUCUCGAGAGGAACACCAGUGGCGAAGGCGGGUCUCUGGACAACACCUGACGCUGAGGCACGAAAGCCAGGGGAGCAAACGGG
rnacentral:rRNA from 1 species